CCUACGGGAGGCAGCAGUAAGGAAUAUUGGUCAAUGGACGAAAGUCUGAACCAGCCAUGCCGCGUGAAGGAUGAAGGUCCUCUGGAUUGUAAACUUCUUUUAUCUGGGACGAAAAAAGGGCAUUCUUGCUCACUUGACGGUACCAGAGGAAUAAGCACCGGCUAACUCCGUGCCAGCAGCCGCGGUAAUACGGAGGGUGCAAGCGUUAUCCGGAUUCACUGGGUUUAAAGGGUGCGUAGGUGGGUUGGUAAGUCAGUGGUGAAAUCUCCGAGCUUAACUCGGAAACUGCCAUUGAUACUAUCAGUCUUGAAUUUUCUGGAGGUAAGCGGAAUAUGUCAUGUAGCGGUGAAAUGCUUAGAUAUGACAUAGAACACCCAUUGCGAAGGCAGCUUACUACGGGAUAAUUGACACUGAGGCACGAAAGCGUGGGGAUCAAACAGGAUUAGAUACCCUGGUAGUCCACGCCUAACGAUAGAUACUCGACAUCAGCGAUACACUGUUGGUUGUCGUGAGCGAAGACGAUUAAGUAUCCACCGUCGGUAAGGUACGACCGCGAGGUUAGUUAAACGUUAAAGGUAAGUUAGACGGCGUGAGACGNGCGACGGACGACGACGAGGGAGGAGG
rnacentral:rRNA from 1 species